GACGAACGCUGGCGGCGUGCCUAAUACAUGCAAGUCGUACUCUUCUUUUUCCACCGGAGCUUGCUCCACCGGGAAAAGAGGAGUGGCGAACGGGUGAGUAACACGUGGGUAACCUGCCCAUCAGAAGGGGAUAACACUUGGAAACAGGUGCUAAUACCGUAUAACAAUCGAAACCGCAUGGUUUUGAUUUGAAAGGCGCUUUCGGGUGUCACUGAUGGAUGGACCCGCGGUGCAUUAGCUAGUUGGUGAGGUAACGGCUCACCAAGGCCACGAUGCAUAGCCGACCUGAGAGGGUGAUCGGCCACAUUGGGACUGACACACGGCCCAAACUCCUACGGGAGGCAGCAGUAGGGAAUCUUCGGCAAUGGACGAAAGUCUGACCGAGCAACGCCGCGUGAGUGAAGAAGGUUUUCGGAUCGUAAAACUCUGUUGUUAGAGAAGAAUAAGGAUGAGAGUAACUGUUCAUCCCUUGACGGUAUCUAACCAGAAAGCCACGGCUAACUACGUGCCAGCAGCCGCGGUAAUACGUAGGUGGCAAGCGUUGUCCGGAUUUAUUGGGCGUAAAGCGAGCGCAGGCGGUUUCUUAAGUCUGAUGUGAAAGCCCCCGGCUCAACCGGGGAGGGUCAUUGGAAACUGGGAGACUUGAGUGCAGAAGAGGAGAGUGGAAUUCCAUGUGUAGCGGUGAAAUGCGUAGAUAUAUGGAGGAACACCAGUGGCGAAGGCGGCUCUCUGGUCUGUAACUGACGCUGAGGCUCGAAAGCGUGGGGAGCAAACAGGAUUAGAUACCCUGGUAGUCCACGCCGUAAACGA
rnacentral:rRNA from 1 species